ACUAGUAUUUCGCAACAUAAAAUCUGUGUUGAAAAUGUUCGCAAAACGACUUCUUGUGUGUCUGUUGAUUGCUGUUGUAAGCGAGAAGGUGACGUCGGCGCCAGAUGGUUGCACUCUACAGUUGUAUCCCUGUGCUUUAAUAGCAUUGGAACUUCAGCCAUUUCAAUCACGAAUCGCAUCUGGCGACUUUACCGUAAUGCCCAAGAUAUGCGGGAUCACUAAAAGGGGACAGACUUGCUUGAGGUCCAUACCCUCCUCGUGUUCCUCCAAUAGCAGUUUCAGACAGCUAUCCCAAGCUCUUCAAACGCUCUCAACACAGUGCCUUCUGCUAGGCCUAAAAAAAUAAGAUGAAGCAGAUUUAAGACCCUUCUCAAAGAUCGCAUGGGUUGUACUGUCAAAUAAAAAAAAUAAGCGAAUAAAUGUUGUUCAGAUAACAA